rnacentral:rRNA from 2 species
CAGGUAGGGAUACCCGCUGAACUA